ACAUUCCCACCAACAGUGUACCAGGGUUCCCUUUUGUCCAUAUCCUUGCCAGCAUCUGUUAUUUUUUGGCUUUUUGAUAAUAGCCAUUCUAACAGGUGUUAG